GUCAGUGGUGCAGUGGUAAACACGGUUGUCUGAGGAACAGCGUGUCCGUGGUUCAAGUGCCGGCUGCA